UACGGGGGGAGCAAGCGUUGUUCGGAUUUACUGGGCGUAAAGGGCGCGUAGGCGGCCACCGCAAGUCGGUUGUGAAAUCUCCGGGCUUAACCCGGAAAGGUCAAUCGAUACUGCGGGGCUAGAGUGCAGAAGGGGCAACUGGAAUUCUCGGUGUAGCGGUGAAAUGCGUAGAUAUCGAGAGGAACACCUGCGGCGAAAGCGGCUUCCUGGUCCAGCACCGACGUUCAGGCACGAAAGCGUGGGGAGCAAACAGG
rnacentral:rRNA from 1 species